UGCCUAAUACAUGCAAGUCGAGCGAGCUUGCCUAGAUGAAUUUGGUGCUUGCACCAAAUGAAACUAGAUACAAGCGAGCGGCGGACGGGUGAGUAACACGUGGGUAACCUGCCCAAGAGACUGGGAUAACACCUGGAAACAGAUGCUAAUACCGGAUAACAACACUAGACGCAUGUCUAGAGUUUAAAAGAUGGUUCUGCUAUCACUCUUGGAUGGACCUGCGGUGCAUUAGCUAGUUGGUAAGGUAACGGCUUACCAAGGCAAUGAUGCAUAGCCGAGUUGAGAGACUGAUCGGCCACAUUGGGACUGAGACACGGCCCAAACUCCUACGGGAGGCAGCAGUAGGGAAUCUUCCACAAUGGACGCAAGUCUGAUGGAGCAACGCCGCGUGAGUGAAGAAGGGUUUCGGCUCGUAAAGCUCUGUUGGUAGUGAAGAAAGAUAGAGGUAGUAACUGGCCUUUAUUUGACGGUAAUUACUUAGAAAGUCACGGCUAACUACGUGCCAGCAGCCGCGGUAAUACGUAGGUGGCAUGCGUUGUCCGGAUUUAUUGGGCGUAAAGCGAGUGCAGGCGGUUCAAUAAGUCUGAUGUGAAAGCCUUCGGCUCAACCGGAGAAUUGCAUCAGAAACUGUUGAACUUGAGUGCAGAAGAGGAGAGUGGAACUCCAUGUGUAGCGGUGGAAUGCGUAGAUAUAUGGAAGAACACCAGUGGCGAAGGCGGCUCUCUGGUCUGCAACUGACGCUGAGGCUCGAAAGCAUGGGUAGCGAACAGGAUUAGAUACCCUGGUAGUCCAUGCCGUAAACGAUGAGUGCUAAG
rnacentral:rRNA from 1 species